rnacentral:snRNA from 1 species
AAGAAGGUACUCUCUUGUA